UGUCGAGGACUCGAACCCCAGACGGCACAGUUCGUUGUCUGACCGGAGAGAGACAGGCAACACCAGCAAGGUCCGAACACAAAGCUCUUUAUUGAAGAGUGCACACAACAAUAGUGAGCAGCCCAUCUCCAAAGAGAACCAGCAGCCUCUAAGUAAAACUAAUAGGUUUUUAUAGAGGGUCCCAUCGCAUCACAGAUUUAUUCAUAAAGCAGCCCACCCCUCCCCUCUGUUAGUUAAAAUCCUCUUUUUCUAUUAUGCAUGCACUUCUACCCCCUUAUUGUAGAUAACUUUUAGCAAAUCGUAAUGCUUCACUAACUUUCUUAUCAGUAUGGGUGUCAACCAGGAGACAAGGAGUUAAAAACAGACAUAACACAAGAACAGGGAGUGGAAAACAGUGCCCCCGUAUCUCAACAAACUGUUCCCAGAACAUCUAGUAAAAAAUGCAGGAAUGCAGGCCUCCCCUUUUUUCUCACUCCCUGCAACUUAAACAAGUAUUCCUUCAUUCUAUUUAUCUCGUUCAGGGACUUUCCAAGCAACCUUUAUUGGCCUGACUUUGGUUCGGUUCGCAUAACUGCUUCAUAUUUAAUUUUUCUCACCUAACAAAAGGACUAAAUGACCCAUCCAAGCUGUGGAAG